CUCCCUGUUGUCUUCGCAUUCCUUUCUCAAAAAUCUUCUGACAGAAGAACCAAGAACUUUUUUAUGAUUUAACAUACUUAGGAAACAAGAAGAAACUUAAUUGCUACCUAAAAUGGCUACUUAGUAUUAAAGAGUGACAUCUAGAAGCAGAGGAAGAAAAAAUCUGUGGAAGUGAAUCUGUUCAAGCUGACUCAUUAAUCACCCCUGUUGAUUUCUUUGGGCUAAUUCCCUAACCGGGUUACUUACGGGACCGUCUUCUGGCACUGAAUGCCUCCCACCGGCCCAUGCGCUCUCACAGGGACUGGCGACGCCCAGGGGAAGGGCCUUUUCUGUGGGGGCUCCCACCCUCUGGAACGAGCUUCCCCCAGGACUUCGUCAACUUCCUGAUCUUCGAACCUUCCGCCGCGAGCUUAAGACACAUCUAUUUAUUUGCGCAGGACUGGACUAGAUUUUUUAAAUUUUAAAUGUUUAAAUGUUUAAAUUUGGUUUUAAAUCGGGAUUUAUUAUUUAUAUUUCUAUUUUAAA